rnacentral:rRNA from 11 species
AGGUCUCCUGAAGGAACGUUGAAGACGACGACGUUGAUAGGCCGGGUGUGUAAGCGCAGCGAUGCGUUGAGCUAACCGGUACUAAUGAACCGUGAGGCUUAACCUUACAACGCCGAAGCUGUU